UAGGGAAUCUUCCACAAUGGACGCAAGUCUGAUGGAGCAACGCCGCGUGAGUGAAGAAGGUCUUCGGAUCGUAAAACUCUGUUGUUAGGGAAGAACACGAGUGAGAGUAACUGUUCAUUCGAUGACGGUAUCUAACCAGCAAGUCACGGCUAACUACGUACCAG
rnacentral:rRNA from 1 species